UACGAAGGGGGCUAGCGUUGCUCGGAAUCACUGGGCGUAAAGCGCACGUAGGCGGCUUACUAAGUCAGGGGUGAAAUCCUGGAGCUCAACUCCAGAACUGCCUUUGAUACUGGUGAGCUUGAGUCCGGAAGAGGUGAGUGGAACUGCGAGUGUAGAGGUGAAAUUCGUAGAUAUUCGCAAGAACACCAGUGGCGAAGGCGGCUCACUGGUCCGGUACUGACGCUGAGGUGCGAAAGCGUGGGGAUCAAACAGG
rnacentral:rRNA from 1 species